rnacentral:lncRNA from 1 species
AACUCUUUGGCUUUUACUCUGGAGGACCCGGGUUCGAGUCUCAGAUCCCAACCCUUGAAAAUGUUUAUCAUAGGGUUCGGGCCCAGCCGUCGAUUCCAGUCCACAAUCCGUCUCCGCAGGAGUAGGCAGCUUGUAAAGGGCUUCUUUCGCCCAGUCACUUAGUAUUCUGGCAGAAUGGAUAAUGGCGUCAUCUGUUGACAAAAAAUCAUAGCUAAUGCAUGAUUGGGAUUUAAUUCACCAUCUCCUGUCCAUGGAACGAGAGUCUAGGCUGAUCCAACCGGCCCCCCGGGUUGAAAACCAUUGUAACCUCAGCCUCUUGUGUACGGUAUUCCUAUACAAACAGAUUAAGGCAAAUAUAGGCGGCUUUCAACUCCACAAACAACUUGAUUCCGGAGGAUCAGUAAAGAUAACUCACUGCGAAAACAAAGUUCAAUGGCGAUAGGUUCUCCCGUUACAGAACCUCUGAUAGAUCAGCUUGCCUGCGACAAAGUUGAUGGCGGCCAGAUGAUCAUAUGCAUUUGCUAUGACCUAUGCGCAAGUUCUUUCUUAUGCACAACUCAAACAGCACCUCAGUCUCACAAACAUAUUGCUCCUAAUGAUGAGGUGAGCACUGAAAGCGCAUCCACCCCCGUUGUUUGCCAAUCGUAAAUGAUCGAAAAGGAUGAGAGAGCAGAGCACUUUGUGCUAAUGAAAAAUACCAUUUCCCCACCAAGUUGGAUUAUCAAUUGACAGGUCGGCCGGGUGGCACAGAGUAAAACUGUGGCUUACUACCCUGGAUCAUUCAGGCUUAAAUUCGGAUCCGCCACUUAAAGAUUUUCAGGAUCGGGCCAUGCCCAGUGAAUGUUAUCCUUCAGCCUUCCGGUUAAUUCCAUCAUAAAUAUUGGUCGUCUUAUGGUGGGUUCUAGAAGUAGCCGUUACCAUAUAUUUCUAUUGUAUAUAUGUGGAUUAACUAUACUAACUAACAAGUGGCAGAAUUCAGGCCUUGUUAUAUCUUAUACGGAAAGGUUGCAUUCUAAAAGACGCUCCGCUUCGUAUCCCAUACCGAAAGGAGCUAUUUUUGUCAACAGAUGAAGCCACUUUCCAUUUAGGAAGAACACUUAAGUGGAGGGGUGAAACAAGCUGUUCCACAGGCUCC